rnacentral:rRNA from 1 species
AUUGAACGCUGGCGGCAGGCUUAACACAUGCAAGUCGAGCGGAGCGAGGGUGCUUGCACCUUAGCUUAGCGGCGGACGGGUGAGUAAUGCUUAGGAAUCUGCCUAUUAGUGGGGGACAACAUUCCGAAAGGGAUGCUAAUACCGCAUACGCCCUACGGGGGAAAGCAGGGGAUCUUCGGACCUUGCGCUAAUAGAUGAGCCUAGGGCGGAUUAGCUAGUUGGUGGGGUAAAGGCCUACCAAGGCGACGAUCUGUAGCGGGUCUGAGAGGAUGAUCCGCCACACUGGGACUGGGACACGGCCCAGACUCCUACGGGAGGCAGCAGUGGGGAAUAUUGGACAAUGGGCGGAAGCCUGAUCCAGCCAUGCCGCGUGUGUGAAGAAGGCCUUUUGGUUGUAAAGCACUUUAAGCGAGGAGGAGGCUACUAGUAUUAAUACUACUGGAUAGUGGACGUUACUCGCAGAAUAAGCACCGGCUAACUCUGUGCCAGCCGCCGCCGUAA